rnacentral:lncRNA from 1 species
GAUUUAAGGUCCUUGGUUUGUGACCUUGAAAUUGAGGUCAAGGUCAUAGGUUAAAAGGACGUUCUAGAUUUUGACCUUUGCUUUAAAUUCAUAUAAAUACAUCAUAAAGUCAUAGGAACUAACAUUUUUAAACUGAUUUUUCAUAUUUCAAUAUCAAAAUAGAUCUUUACUAGUGGAAAGACCUUCAAUUGUUCUCUGAACAAUUGGUUUUUAAUUAUUAUUAUUUUUUUUUUUUUUUUCCGCCUAAUUUUUUCUUGCGUAGUAUUGAUGUUUCAAAAGAUGUCGCUUAGAUAUUUGGAAUAUGAUAUCAUAUAGUUUAUACGCUUUAAAAAUUUACAACCGCGUAACAAAAUACUUUACGUUGUAAGAGUUAUCUCCCCAAACACUGUUUUUCUUGUGGCCACUACUCCUUCGCAACCGUAAAAGAUUACGACAAAUUUAUUUUACCAAAUUGCUCGUUACAUCUUCAGGAUUAGGAUUUUAGUUUUGACCGAAGCUAUCCAGAGACUCCAUAUGAGAGUUAUUCCCCCUUAUGUAUUUGAUAUAGGUGAUAUGCGUUUCUAACUUGGUAAAACCAUAAGUGAUAGAGACCUAGGGUCUCUUGAUUUGAGAUCCUUGGUCCAAAAAAAUGAAAAAAAGGUCAAGGUCAAAGGUCAUAUCAUAUUCUAAAAUUUGAUUUUGGCUAAUUUUCACUUAUUUUCAAAUACCAUAAGACAUAUCGACAAAUAUUUUUUCCUAAAUUGUUAGUUGCGACAUGUCCUUACUUGUAUAUUUUGGUUGAAAGGGUG